UGGCGACAGCGGCCCGACGACCGGCGAUGCGGUUGUUUGCGCCACUUCGCCGGCAGCAGGCCCGGGCUAUCGGGGAGCACGGCUGCCGCGCUAUACCGGAGGCCAUACAGUGGCGCCCACUGACGGUGGCAGCAUGGAGUACAGGACACGGGACGAUCCAGUGAUGUCCGUUGCUCGGUUUGCGAGAAUUCUGUCGCCUCUUGUCGAGUGGCCGAGGCCAGAUGUCGGCGAAGCCGUUCACAAGAAGCAGACAUAUAUGCAAGUCGCCACGCUUCCUGGGACGUAACGCUGAUGUACUUGACGUAUCGAAGUCUGUAGACAGCAGCGCCUGCAGGAAGCCGGUGGUCGACGCUCUCCAGACAAGCUGCAUGCCUCGGGUUCUUGGCGCUGCGGCAGCGUACAAAAACAAAGGCCUCGAAGCCCGCAUGCCCUCGGAGGCUUGUUUGUGAUCGCCGUUCGCGGAGAAGUUGCAGCGCUGUGAAGACUGAACGUAGUGUCCUGCUAGCAUAUAGCACAGACACACUUGCCCGCGAGCCAAUGACGCGAAGGGCCACAGAGUCGUCGCACUAUUCGAAUAAUAAACGCAUUCGGAUAUACCAACUAUACACCGUCGCAGGCGCAUUUGAAAAGCAGCCCAACCGUAGGCGCUGUUGGGCUUUGAACACUGAAUUUGCAGCUGUUCAAGUGGAAUGUUCUUUGGUCCUGGCUCACACGAACCUAUUGAGAACCAUAUGAAGAAAAUGGUCCACCUUUAUAUGUUAACUAUUCGUUAGCUCAAGGAAUGAGCUGCCUCAUGUUUUGAAGGAAAUAAAGCCAAAA